rnacentral:lncRNA from 10 species
GCACAGAAUUGCUUGGAUGGGGUGUAUGGAACUCCCUGCUGGAGGGUGCUCCUGAAUCAAGGGAGGGGGAAUUUGAUCUGAGACCUGAAAAGCUAGAAGGAACCCUCCGUACCAGGAGUGGAGGGAUGAGCAGUCCCAGCAGAGGCAACAGGGUGGACAAGGGCCUUGAUGUGGAAGAAGCUGACAGGUUCCAAGAACAGAAUGAGACUAGUGUGGCUGGGACUACUCACCGCCUGCCUUUUGCAGACAGGGAAAUGGAGACUCAAAGAAGAACAAUACUCAUAGCGGUGAGCCCGCGAUAGAACCCAGGGCCCCUGGUACAAAGUCUAGAUUCUCGGUGUCCCUGCUGUAGUCCCUGCCCGCCUUCCUGGCAUAGCUAUAGAGAGAAGAUGAAUGUAGCAGAACUCACAAGAGGACAAUAAUGAACAUGGUACCUAAUCACACGCUUGCACACUCGGUGCUAUGGACGCCCGGGGACAGGGGAAAGAUGAGGAGGCUCAGAUGUUUGUGGGGAAGUGGGUACGCCCCUGUCUGCCUCCUGCCUGGCUUGAUGCCCACAGUGGGUGGGUGUGUAUGUGUGCAUGUGUAUGUGAUGGUGCGUGUGCAUGCCUGUAUAAUUGUACAUGUGAAUGUGGGAGUGUGGUACCCAAAGGAACUCUGUCGCUUCCCCUGGAAUGCUGGGCACCAGGGGCACUCGGUGUACCCAGCUACCUGCCUGUUCAGACCCAGUGUGCCCUCACUUCUCUGUCCACUUAUCUGCAGAGACCUCUUGGCUUCUGUGCCUUAUCUUUAGGCCCUGCUUAGCUUCUCGAUGAAAAAAUAAUUAACCAUAGCCUCAUUUUCCAAGGCGUCCAUCCCGCUCUGCUGGCCAAGUUAAAAAUAUUCACGAGGAGUAGGGCUGCUGGUGGGAGGAGCUGC